GGCCUACCAUGGUGGUAACGGGUAACGGGGUGUUAGGGCACGACACCGGAGAGGGAGCCUGAGAAACGGCUACCACAUCCAAGGAAGGCAGCAGGCGCGCAAAUUACCCAAUCCCGACACGGGGAGGUAGUGACAAUAAAUAACAAUACAGGGUUCUUUUGGAUCUUGUAAUUGGAAUGAGUACAAUUUAAAUCUCUUAACGAGGAACAAUUGGAGGGCAAGUCUGGUGCCAGCAGCCGCGGUAAUUCCAGCUCCAAUAGCGUAUAUUAAAGUUGUUGCAGUUAAAAAGCUCGUAGUUGAAUUUCGGGAUCAAUAUUUCGGUCAUGCCGUUGGUAUGCACUGUUAUCAUUGAUUUCUCACCUUCUAAAGAACCGUAAUGCCAUUAAUUUGGUGUUACGGGGAAUUAGGACUGUUACCUUGAAAAAAUUAGAGUGUUUAAAGCAGGCUCGCGCUUGAAUACAUUAGCAUGGAAUAAUGAAAUAGGACGUUUGACCCUAUUUUGUUGGUUUCUAGGAUCGACGUAAUGAUUAAUAGGGAUAGUUGGGGGCAUUAGUAUUCAAUUGUCAGAGGUGAAAUUCUUGGAUUUAUUGAAGACGGACUACUGCGAAAGCAUUUGCCAAGGAUGUUUUCAUUAAUCAAGAACGAAAGUUGGGGGAUCGAAGACGAUCAGAUACCGUCGUAGUCUCAACCAUAAACUAUGCCGACUGGGAAUCGGGCGAUGUUAUUUUUCGUGACUCGCUCGGCGCCCCGAG
rnacentral:rRNA from 1 species